rnacentral:rRNA from 1 species
UACAGAGGUCUCAAGCGUUGUUCGGAUUCAUUGGGCGUAAAGGGUGCGUAGGUGGCGAGGCAAGUCUGGUGUGAAAUCCCAGGGCUCAACCCCGGAACUGCACUGGAUACUGCUUUGCUAGAGUACUGGAGAGGAGAUUGGAAUUUACGGUGUAGCAGUGAAAUGCGUAGAUAUCGUAAGGAAGACCAGUGGCGAAGGCGAAUCUCUGGACAGUUACUGACACUGAGGCACGAAGGCCAGGGGAGCAAACGGG